AAAAAGUGGCUCAUGUAACCUGUUCUCCUGUUGCUGUGGGAAUCAUCCAAUCAUUCAGUCUCACUCUCUGCUCUGCCACACCCCUCAUUAGUUCAACCACCUUCACCUGGCGCUCCCACCUGCUCAUCAUCUGCAAUCAGCCAGUAUAUAAGCUGCCUCGGCCCACUCCCUCCUUGUCAGAUUGUCUACGCUACUAUGCUCAGUCGUCUUGCUUUCUUCACUGGACUGCCUUCCUGGUUUCUGAUCAGCUUGUCUUCGACCAUCGCUCCUCGUCUCUGCCCCGGUAAACCCACCAGCCUUCUGUCCCUGACUCUGAGUUCUGCCUGCCUGUUCCCUGGUCUUUGUCUGCUGUGGGAGUGGAAGAUCCGGUGGAGUCAUACUCAUCAGAACGGUGUUUCUCCGACCGUGCUAAUAUUGCCUUGACAUCGUGUAAAAUAAAGACUGCAAAGUUUAUACCAGUGUCGUUUGUGCUGCUAUUGGGUCCAUCCUAUACCCGUUACACUCCUGGUUUCAGUCUCAGCGGCUGGACGACGGAUCCACGGUUUCCUCUCCUGCCGACUGGCUGAUAUCUGACUGUUCAGGACAAACACAGAAUCUGUCAUUAAAUAUAUAAUAAUUCA